rnacentral:tRNA from 1 species
GCGAGCGUAGCUCAGUGGUAGAGCUCCACCUUGCCAAGGUGGGUGUCGCGGGUUCAACCCCCGUCGCUCGCUCCA